rnacentral:rRNA from 1 species
AUUGAACGCUGGCGGCAUGCCUAACACAUGCACGUCGAACGAGCGGCGGACGGGUGAGUAAUAUAUGGGGACCUGCCCGGUAGAGGGGGAUAACUACUGGAAACAGUGGCUAAUAACGCAUACUAUUGGAUGGACCCAUAUGGGUUUAGCUAGUUGGUGGGGUAAAGGGUCACCUAGGCUACGAUCUCUAGCUGGUCUGAGAGGACGGACAGCCACACUGGGACUGAGACACGGCCCAGACUCCUACGGGAGGCAGCAGUGGGGAAUUUUGCACAAUGGGCGAAAGCCUGAUGCAGCCAGGCCGCGUGUAUGAAGAAGGCCGUAGGGUUGUAAAGUACUUUCAGCGGGGAAGCGGUACCGGCAGAAGAAGCACCGGCUAACUUCGUGCCAGCAGCCGCGUUAAUUC